rnacentral:misc_RNA from 1 species
UUUUUUUUUUUUUUUUAUAACAUCUUACAUUACAAUAACAUGAAUAAAAGUAAAAGUAGCAUGUACUUCUAUGUAUAAAUUCUAAUUUUACCAUUAAUUUGUAUUUACUUAUCGAAAAAUGAACUUGAUAUGAGAAUCUUGAAAAGGAGACAUCUAUAUUAUAUUUUCAAAGUGAACCAGACAUGUCCUAAAAGGUAAUAGUAGAUAUUGUACGGGAGUGUGACAUAGGAGCACUUCUGAUGUAGAACAAGAAGGAACCAAAAACAAAUCCUUAGGAAAGAGAACUAAUUCUCAAUAA